AUCCAGCUGACGAGUCCCAAAUAGGAGGUGGCGCGCGUCCUGGAU
rnacentral:hammerhead_ribozyme from 1 species